rnacentral:rRNA from 1 species
UGUUAAUCAAAAACAUGUCUUAUAGAUAUUAAUUUUAAGUCUAGCCUGCUCAAUGAUUAUUAAAUUAAAUAGCCGCAGUAUACUGACUGUGCAAAGGUAGCAUAAUCAUUUGUCUUUUAAUUGGAGGCUUGUAUGAAUGGUUGGACGAGGGAUAAGCUUUCUUUACUUAAUUUUUAUGAAUUUAAUAUUUUAGUCAAAAAGCUAAAAUGUUUUUGUGGGACGAGAAGACCCUAUAGAAUUUUAUUAUUAUAUUAAUAAUUUUGAAUUAAUCUCUUGAUUUAAUUUAUUAAUAUAAUAAUUUGGUUGGGGUGAUUGUGAAAUUUAAUUAACUUUUAUUUUUAAUUUAUUCAUUAAUUAUUGUUUACUACUGAUCCUUUUUUAGGGAAUAAAAGAUUAAAUUACCUUAGGGAUAACAGCGUAAUUCUUUUGGAGAGUUCUUAUCGAUGAAGGAGUUUGCGACCUCGAUGUUGGAUUAAAGUUAAUUUUUGGUGUAGAAGCUAAAUAUAUUAGGUCUGUUCGACCUUUAAAUCUUUACGUGAUCUGAGUCAAA